UAACGUCUCCUAAGCCGAACUUGAUGG
rnacentral:piRNA from 2 species